GUAAGUGAGCAUAAUGGAAUUUGUUCUUGAGGAAGGCAAAACUCUCCCAUGGGGGAUUCUUCUUCUUCUCUGAUUCUGGUAAAUGGGUACAUGGGAGAGGAUCAGCUUAAGGAAGCACUAGAAGGAUCUGAUGUAGUUAUUCCAGCUGGUGUGCCGAGAAAACCUGGAAUUACUUGAGAUGAUCUGUUCAAUAUCAAUGUCGGCAUUGUUAAAACUCUGUGUACUGCUAUUGCAAAGUACUGCCCGAAUAUCCAACUGAUAGGGAACUUGCAGCCCUAACUGGUAGGCUCAUACCUUCUUCAACCUUGGGACAAGUAGUUCCAACCGGAAUGAUAAUGGUUAGUGAUCAAUGGAAACGAAUGC